CCCUUAGAUGUUCUGGGCUGCACGCGUGCUACACUGAUUAUUUCAACAAGUGUUUUAACUGGAGAGUUCGCGUAAUCCUGAAAUGUUAUCGUGAUGGGAUUAGAGUAUUGUAUUUGUUAAUCUUUAACGAGGAAUUCCUAGCAAGUGUAGGUUUAUAAGUUGUUCUGAUUACGUCCCUGCCCUUUGUACACACCGCCCGUCGCUCCUACCGAUUGAUUGAUCCGGUGAAUUACAUAGAAUUUUGCGUUUUACAUGACGGAAGACGAAGUGUUUUAAACCUUAUCAUUUAGAGGAAGGAGAAGUCGUAACA
rnacentral:rRNA from 1 species